AAGAAAUCCAAAGUAAAGACGAUAAUUGCUGAAGAAAGGCCACACCUGUGCCUGUUUAGUAUAAGAGAUAUCUUUCAAGAUGAUGUUACAUACAACUAUGGAGAUUCCUCUUGGCCAUGGCCUUCAAGGUUUCUGUGUGAAGACACCUCAGUGAGAGAGGCUGAAGGUUGUGUCGAUGCUUCCACCUCAGGGUAAAAGUUGCUGUGUGAAGACACAUCAGUGAGAGAGGCUGAAGGUUGUGUUGAUGCUUCCACCUCAGGGAAAAAGGUAAGUGAGCAUAUUUUCCUUCUU